rnacentral:miRNA from 1 species
CUAAAAUGCAAAACAGAUAUUGCAUUUCUCAUGUGGUGGGUACUAAUGUGCGUCAUCCGAUCCCCACUUCAUGAGAAAUGUGACAACUGUUUUGCGUCUUAAAU